rnacentral:sRNA from 12 species
UGAAGCUUACAAUAAUAACUUUUGGGACGCUUCGGUGCUCCCCCGGAAUAUCUGGGGUCUCAGCCGAGGAAUCACGAAUCCAAGAGACGUGGCUUCA